CUGGGGUACUCGAGUGGCGAACGGGUGAGUAACACGUGGGUGAUAUGCCCUGCACUUCGGGAUAAGCCUGGGAAACUGGGUCUAAUACCGGAUAGGACCAUCGUUUAGUGUCGGUGGUGGAAAGUUUUUCGGUGUGGGAUGAGCUAGCGGCCUAUCAGCUUGUUGGUGGGGUAAUGGCCUACCAAGGCGUCGACGGGUAGCCGGCCUGAGAGGGUGUACGGCCACAUUGGGACUGAGAUACGGCCAAG
rnacentral:rRNA from 1 species